rnacentral:rRNA from 1 species
GUGGAUUAGUGGCGGACGGGUGAGUAACGCGUGAGUAACCUGCCUUACACAAGGGGAUAGCCGUUGGAAACGACGAAUAAUACCCUAUGAAACUAUCACUUCGCAUGAAGCGAUAGUCAAAGUGUUAGCGGUGUAAGAUGGACUUGCGUCUGAUUAGCUAGUUGGUGAGAAAAAAGCCCACCAAGGCAACGAUCAGUAGCCGGCUUGAGAGAGUGUACGGCCACAUUGGGACUGAGACACGGCCCAG